GUGUUAAAAACAGAAACAAUCAGCUUCUGGUUUUCGGCGUGACAAUCUCUCUGAGACCACCCUUUCCCGCUGCUUCGAGUUGCCUGUGUCUAUCUGAAAAGACUUGGCUGGAAGAAAACAUUCUUACAGUUCUGACCUUAGUUACAAAAUGUCCCUCAAGAUCGCAUAUGCUUUCUGAAGGAAAGCGUGCUUUACCAGGGCUGUGGAAACUGUGUUUACCAUGCAAGCCUUCCUGGUGCAAAUAUUUCUGUUUGGAGGGGCCUUUGCUGUGGUUGUAUAAUUUACUGUGCUCAUGGGAAAUUAGAAUUUUUUUUAAGUUUAAUGGGAAUAAACAUCAGGUUUAAUACUUUCAUUUGCAACUACCACCAGGACUUCAGUUACGCUCCACAGAGUACUUUCGUGGAUGGCAAACUCCUGAGGUGAACCACAUUUUCCCUAACUGAUUCAAGGCGGAUAACAAAUUCUAUAUUUAACUCAAGGGAUUGAACUGGAUUAGAGCCACGCAGUGCUAAAAGAUGGCUUUAACUCUGCUCCAGACGGCUAAAACGUAACUGUGCAGACGGCUAGGUACGGCGCGCUUGCUGUUCUAGCUUGGGAAACUGGAGUAUUCACGGGCAAGCACAGAUCGCUCGGAGAGAGGCUGGAGAUGAAGGGGUUGGGCAUAAAGCCGCUGGGGAUGCACGUGCCUAACACUUGCAAAGCCCUGCUCCAAAUCCCAGCGCUCAGAGAUGGCAGGGUGUAGCUGUGGUCGUGUGGCUUGCUGGCUAGCCAGCAGAAGUAAUUUCUCAGCUGUUACUUAGCUCAUUGGAGAUGAGCAGACAGCCACCACAUACCGUCCAGACACUGCACCAAGCAACCGUUGACUGAACCAACGCGAGCCACAACCUUUUACAUUGUUCUCACGGGUCUUCUGGCACAGCUACACAAAA
rnacentral:sRNA from 1 species